GGCGAUCCUAAGCGCCCUAUCAAGGGCGCCCAAGCGUUGAAACUUGCAAGAAGAAUGGCACCCAGUGCCCCAAAAGGUCGCCCAAGCGCGCAAUAGUUCGAGGAGAAUAGUGCUCAGCGCCCCCCGAAAGGGUGCCCAAACGUGAUGGCUCUCAACCCCCGAGAAGGGGCUCAGGCGCAUCUUGCACCUUUACAUUUUU
rnacentral:lncRNA from 1 species